rnacentral:rRNA from 1 species
GAUCAAGUGUCUUAAGGGCAUUUGGUGGAUGCCUUGGCAUGCACAGGCGAUGAAGGACGUGAUACGCUGCGAUAAGCGUCGGGGAGGUGCGAAUACCCUUUGAUCCGACGAUUUCCGAAUGGGGCAACCCACCUUAGAUAGCUAGAAAAUUUGAAUUGUUGGCGCUUAUGCAAGAACAGUUCAACUUUCUAGUUAUCGUAAUAAGGUAUCUACACCUGAAUACAUAGGGUGUUAGAAGCGAACCUGGGGAACUGAAACAUCUAAGUACCCAGAGGAAAGGACAUCAAACGAGACUCCGCUAGUAGUGGCGAGCGAACGCGGACCAGGCCAGUGGCAAUAGGGAAUAAAGUGGAAGAACCUGGAAAGGUUUGCCGAAGUGGG